rnacentral:rRNA from 1 species
GCGUUAAGUUGCAGGGUAUAGACCCGAAACCCGGUGAUCUAGCCAUGGGCAGGUUGAAGGUUGGGUAACACUAACUGGAGGACCGAACCGACUAAUGUUGAAAAAUUAGCGGAUGACCUGUGGCUGGGGGUGAAAGGCCAAUCAAACCGGGAGAUAGCUGGUUCUCCCCGAAAGCUAUUUAGGUAGCGCCUCGUGAACUCAUCUCCGGGGGUAGAGCACUGUUUCGGCUAGGGGGCCAUCCCGGCUUACCAACCCGAUGCAAACUGCGAAUACCGGAGAAUGUUAUCACGGGAGACACACGGCGGGUGCUAACGUCCGUCGUGAAGAGGGAAACAACCCAGACCGCCAGCUAAGGUCCCAAAGUCAUGGUUAAGUGGGAAACGAUGUGGGAAGGCCCAGACAGCCAGGAUGUUGGCUUAGAAGCAGCCAUCAUUUAAAGAAAGCGUAAUAGCUCACUGGUCGAGUCGGCCUGCGCGGAAGAUGUAACGGGGCUAAACCAUGCACCGAAGCUGCGGCAGCGACGCUGAUGCGUUGUUGGGUAGGGGAGCGUUCUGUAAGCCUGCGAAGGUGGCCUGUGAGGGUUGCUGGAGGUAUCAGAAGUGCGAAUGCUGACAUAAGUAACGAUAAAGCGGGUGAAAAGCCCGCUCGCCGGAAGACCAAGGGUUCCUGUCCAACGUUAAUCGGGGCAGGGUGAGUCGACCCCUAAGGCGAGGCCGAAAGGCGUAGUCGAUGGGAAACGGGUUAAUAUUCCCGUACUUGGUGUUACUGCGAAGGGGGGACGGAGAAGGCUAUGUUGGCCGGGCGACGGUUGUCCCGGUUUAAGCGUGUAGGUGUGUGUUCCAGGUAAAUCCGGUUCACUUUAACACUGAGGCGUGACGACGAGGCACUACGGUGCUGAAGCAACAAAUGCCCUGCUUCCAGGAAAAGCCUCUAAGCAUCAGGUAACAUCAAAUCGUACCCCAAACCGACACAGGUGGUCAGGUAGAGAAUACCAAGGCGCUUGAGAGAACUCGGGUGAAGGAACUAGGCAAAAUGGUGCCGUAACUUCGGGAGAAGGCACGCUGACACGUAGGUGAAGUGAUUUACUCAUGGAGCUGAAGUCAGUCGAAGAUACCAGCUGGCUGCAACUGUUUAUUAAAAACACAGCACUGUGCAAACACGAAAGUGGACGUAUACGGUGUGACGCCUGCCCGGUGCCGGAAGGUUAAUUGAUGGGGUCAGCGCAAGCGAAGCUCCUGAUCGAAGCCCCGGUAAACGGCGGCCGUAACUAUAACGGUCCUAAGGUAGCGAAAUUCCUUGUCGGGUAAGUUCCGACCUGCACGAAUGGCGUAAUGAUGGCCAGGCUGUCUCCACCCGAGACUCAGUGAAAUUGAACUCGCUGUGAAGAUGCAGUGUACCCGCGGCAAGACGGAAAGACCCCGUGAACCUUUACUAUAGCUUGACACUGAACAUUGAGCCUUGAUGUGUAGGAUAGGUGGGAGGCUUUGAAGUGUGGACGCCAGUCUGCAUGGAGCCGACCUUGAAAUACCACCCUUUAAUGUUUGAUGUUCUAACGUGGACCCGUGAUCCGGGUUGCGGACAGUGUCUGGUGGGUAGUUUGACUGGGGCGGUCUCCUCCUAAAGAGUAACGGAGGAGCACGAAGGUUGGCUAAUCCUGGUCGGACAUCAGGAGGUUAGUGCAAUGGCAUAAGCCAGCUUGACUGCGAGCGUGACGGCGCGAGCAGGUGCGAAAGCAGGUCAUAGUGAUCCGGUGGUUCUGAAUGGAAGGGCCAUCGCUCAACGGAUAAAAGGUACUCCGGGGAUAACAGGCUGAUACCGCCCAAGAGUUCAUAUCGACGGCGGUGUUUGGCACCUCGAUGUCGGCUCAUCACAUCCUGGGGCUGAAGUAGGUCCCAAGGGUAUGGCUGUUCGCCAUUUAAAGUGGUACGCGAGCUGGGUUUAGAACGUCGUGAGACAGUUCGGUCCCUAUCUGCCGUGGGCGCUGGAGAACUGAGGGGGGCUGCUCCUAGUACGAGAGGACCGGAGUGGACGCAUCACUGGUGUUCGGGUUGUCAUGCCAAUGGCACUGCCCGGUAGCUAAAUGCGGAAGAGAUAAGUGCUGAAAGCAUCUAAGCACGAAACUUGCCCCGAGAUGAGUUCU